rnacentral:rRNA from 1 species
UCGUCAGCUCGUGCCGUGAGGUGUCGGCUUAAGUGCCAUAACGAGCGCAACCCCUCUCCGUAGUUGCCAUCAGGCUAAGCUGGGCACUCUGCGGACACUGCCACCGUAAGGUGCGAGGAAGGUGGGGAUGACGUCAAAUCAGCACGGCCCUUACGUCCGGGGCUACACACGUGUUACAAUGGGGGGUACAGAGAGUCGGCUGCCCGCAAGGUCAGUCCAAUCAUGAAAGCCUCCCUCAGUUCGGACUGGGGUCUGCAACCCGACCCCACGAAGCUGGAUUCGCUAGUAAUCGCGCAUCAGCCAUGGCGCGGUGAAUACGCUCCCGGGCCUUGUACACACCGCCCGUCAAGCCAUGAAAGCUGGGGGCGCCUGAAGUCCGUGACCGCGAGGGUCGGCCUAGGGCGAAACCGGUGAUUGGGGCUAAGUCGUAACAAGGUAGCCGUA